AGAAUAUGUUGGAGACAAAAGGAUAAGAGAUGCGGACUCUAAAGAAACUGUUGAAGUCAAAAAUAAAAUCCUAAAACAGGAGACAUCUAAAGAUUCGCUGACGUCACAAUCUGACAAAGGCAAGAAGAAAAGAUUAAAGUCACAGGAUGUAGACCUA
rnacentral:sRNA from 1 species